AACGUAGGAGACAAACGUUAUCCGGAGUUACUGGGCGUAAAGGGCGUGCAGGCGGUCUGUUAAGUCUGGCGUGAAAGCUCUCGGCUCAACUGGGAGGGGUCUUCGGAUACGGGCGGACUAGAGGAGAGCAGAGGUAGGCGGAAUGCUGGGUGUAGUGGUGAAAUGCGUAGAUAUCCAGCGGAACACCAGUGGCGAAGGCGGCCUACUGGGCUCCACCUGACACUGAGGCGCGAAAGCGUGGGGAGCGAACCGG
rnacentral:rRNA from 1 species